rnacentral:rRNA from 1 species
CCUACGGGUGGCUGCAGUCGAGAAUCUUUCACAAUGGUCGGAACCCUGAUGCUGCGACGCCGCGUGGGGGAAUGAAGGACUUCGGAUUGUAAACCCCUGUUAUCAGGGAACAAAUUCUAAAGCUCGUCCCACAAGAGGAAUAGACGGCUAACUAUUGGCCAGCAGCUGCGUUCAUACAGGCGGCUGAAGCGGUGUUCGGAAUCACUGGGCGUAAAGCGUGCGGAGGAGGGUUCGUAAGUCGUGUGUGAAAGGCGCGGGCUCAACCCGCGGACGGCAGCUGAUACUGGGAGACGAGAGUAAGGGAGGGGUAAGCGGAAUGCGCGGUGUAGCAGUGAAAUGCGUAGAUAUCGAGAGGAACACUCGUGGCGAAGGCGGGUUCCUGGACAUUAACUGACGCUGAGGCACGAAGGCGAGGGUAGCGAAAGGGAUUAGAUACCCCGGUAGUC